CCUACGGGGGGCAGCAGUGGGGGAUAUUGCACAAUGGGGGGAACCCUGAUGCAGCGACGCCGCGUGAAGGAAGAAGUAUCUCGGUAUGUAAACUUCUAUCAGCAGGGAAGAAAAUGACGGUACCUGGCUAAGAAGCCCCGGCUAACUACGUGCCAGCAGCCGCGGUAAUACGUAGGGGGCAAGCGUUAUCCGGAUUUACUGGGUGUAAAGGGAGCGUAGACGGCGAUGCAAGUCUGAAGUGAAAGCCCGGGGCUCAACCCCGGGACUGCUUUGGAAACUGUAUGGCUGGAGUGCUGGAGAGGCAA
rnacentral:rRNA from 1 species